rnacentral:rRNA from 1 species
CCUACGGGUGGCAGCAGUGGGGGAUAUUGCACAAUGGGGGCAACCCUGAUGCAGCGACGCCGCGUGGGCGAAGAAGUAUUUCGGUUUGUAAAGCUCUAUCAGCAGGGAAGAAGGAAUGACGGUACCUGAGUAAGAAGCACCGGCGAAAUACGUGCCAGCAGCCGCGGUAAUACGGAUGGUGCAAGCGCUAUCCGGCUUUACUGGGAGUAAAGGGAGCGCAGGCGGCACGGCAAGUCUGAUGCGAAAGCCCGCGGCCUAACCGCGGGACUGCAUUGGGAACUACCGGGCUGGAGUGCCGGAGAGGUAGGCGGAAUUCCUAGUGUAGCGGUGGAAUGCGUAGAUAUUAGGAGGAACACCAGUGGCGAAGGCGGCCGUCUGGUCGGUGACUGACGCUGAGGCUCGAAAGCAUGGGGAGCGAACAGGAUUAGAUACCCCGGUAGUC